ACGGGAGGCAGCAGUGGGGAAUAUUGCGCAAUGGGGGCAACCCUGACGCAGCCAUGCCGCGUGAAUGAAGAAGGCCUUCGGGUUGUAAAGUUCUUUCGGUAGCGAGGAAGGCAUUUAGUUUAAUAGACUAGGUGAUUGACGUUAACUACAGAAGAAGCACCGGCUAACUCCGUGCCAGCAGCCGCGGUAAUACGGAGGGUGCGAGCGUUAAUCGGAAUAACUGGGCGUAAAGGGCACGCAGGCGGACUUUUAAGUGAGGUGUGAAAGCCCCGGGCUUAACCUGGGAAUUGCAUUUCAGACUGGGAGUCUAGAGUACUUUAGGGAGGGGUAGAAUUCCACGUGUAGCGGUGAAAUGCGUAGAGAUGUGGAGGAAUACCGAAGGCGAAGGCAGCCCCUUGGGAAUGUACUGACGCUCAUGUGCGAAAGCGUGGGGAGCAAACAGGAUUAGAUACCCUGGUA
rnacentral:rRNA from 1 species